rnacentral:rRNA from 1 species
AUUGAACGCUGGCGGCAUGCCUUACACAUGCAAGUCGAACGGCAGCGGGGACUUCGGUCCGCCGGCGAGUGGCGAACGGGUGAGUAAUGUAUCGGAACGUACCAUCCAGUGGGGGAUAACUAUCCGAAAGGAUAGCUAAUACCGCAUAUUAUGUUAGCAGGAAAGCAGGGUAUCGCAAGACCUUGCGCUUAUUGAGCGGCCGAUAUCAGAUUAGCUAGUUGGUGAGGUAACGGCUCACCAAGGCUACGAUCUGUAGCGGGUCUGAGAGGAUGAUCCGCCACACUGGGACUGAGACACGGCCCAGACUCCUACGGGAGGCAGCAGUGGGGAAUUUUGGACAAUGGGCGCAAGCCUGAUCCAGCCAUGCCGCGUGAGUGAAGAAGGCCUUCGGGUUGUAAAGCUCUUUCGGCCGGGAAGAAAUCGCAUCAGCUAAUACCUGGUGUGGAUGACGGUACCGGAAUAAGAAGCACCGGCUAACUACGUGCCAGCCGCCGCAGUAAUAC